GUAGGGAAUAUUGCACAAUGGGGGGAACCCUGAUGCAGCCAUGCCGCGUGUGUGAAGAAGGCCUUUGGGUUGUAAAGCACUUUCAGUAUGGAGGAAGUGAGCUGAGUUAAUAGCUUAGUUCAUUGACGUUACAUACAGAAGAAGCACCGGCUAACUCCGUGCCAGCAGCCGCGGUAAUACGGAGGGUGCGAGCGUUAAUCGGAAUAACUGGGCGUAAAGAGCUCGUAGGCGGUUUGUCAAGUCAGAUGUGAAAGCCCCGGGCUUAACCUGGGAACCGCAUUUGAAACUGACAGACUAGAGUACUGUAGAGGGAGGUAGAAUUCCAGGUGUAGCGGUGAAAUGCGUAGAUAUCUGGAGGAAUACCGGUGGCGAAGGCGGCCUCCUGGACAGAGACUGACGCUGAGGAGCGAAAGCGUGGGGAGCAAACAGG
rnacentral:rRNA from 1 species